rnacentral:rRNA from 1 species
AGAGUUUGAUCCUGGCUCAGGAUGAACGCUGGCGGCGUGCCUAACACAUGCAAGUCGAACGCCCCGCAAGGGGAGUGGCGCACGGGUGAGGAACACGUAGCUAACCUGCCUUCGAGAGGGGGAUAACGUCCCGAAAGGGAAGCUAAUACCCCAUAAGCUCACGAACAGUAGAGGUUCGUGAGAAAAGAUUCAUCGCUCGAAGAGGGGGCUGCGGCCCAUCAGGUAGUUGGUGGGGUAACGGCCUACCAAGCCAACGACGGGUCGGGGACCUGAGAGGGUGACCCCCCACACUGGGACUGAGACACGGCCCAGACUCCUACGGGAGGCAGCAGUGAGGGAUAUUGCACAAUGGGCGCAAGCCUGAUGCAGCGACGCCGCGUGAGUGAAGAAGGCCUUCGGGUCGUAAAGCUCUUCUCUGCGUGACGAGAAGGGACGGUAGCGCAGAAUAA